GGACUACUGGGGUAUCUAAUCCUGUUCGCUCCCCUAGCUUUCGCACCUGAGCGUCAGUUACCAGCCAGGACACUGCCUUCGCCUUUGGUAUUCCUCCGGAUAUCUACGCAUUUCACCACUCCACCCGGAAUUCUAUGUCCCUCUCUGGUCCUCAAGUCAAGCAGUUUUCAGAGGCCUUGCUCAGUUAAGCCGAGCACUGUCACUCCAAACUUACCCAACCGCCUGCGUGCGCUUUACGCCCAAUAAAUCCGGACAACGCUUGCCCCCUACGUAUUACCGCGGCUGCUGGCAC
rnacentral:rRNA from 1 species